UACGGGAGGCAGCAGUGGGGAAUAUUGCACAAUGGGCGCAAGCCUGAUGUAGCCAUGCCGCGUGUAUGAAGAAGGCCUUCGGGUUGUAAAGUACUUUCAGUCGUGAGGAAGGUGUUAAGGUUAAUAACCUUAGCAAUUGACGUUAGCGACAGAAGAAGCACCGGCUAACUCCGUGCCAGCAGCCGCGGUAAUACGGAGGGUGCGAGCGUUAAUCGGAAUUACUGGGCGUAAAGGGCACGCAGGCGGUUAAUUAAGUUGGAUGUGAAAUCCCCGGGCUUAACCUGGGAAUGGCAUUCAAGACUGGUUAGCUAGAGUCUUGUAGAGGGGGUAGAAUUCCAUGUGUAGCGGUGAAAUGCGUAGAGAUGUGGAGGAAUACCGGUGGCGAAGGCGGCCCCUGGACAAAGACUGACGCUCAUGUGCGAAAGCGUGGGGAGCAAACAGGGAUUAGAUACC
rnacentral:rRNA from 1 species